rnacentral:sRNA from 1 species
AGCCACACUGCCUGCCUGGUGCAGCCCAUGUGACGGGUCCGGCUCCGGGCCCUGCUGUCCCUGGCCCGGCUAUCCCGGUGGCUUUAGGCACCUUCUCCACACCUACCCAGAAAGAUGCCCGGAUGGAGCCUGCAGCUCCGUGGCUUUUCUGGGAAGCAGCGGCCCCUGCUCUCGAGAGACCCUGGCUCCUGAUGGUGGCCCCAAGUGCAGCUCCUCAAGUCCACGGACCUGGGCCGGCACAGCCUCCUGUACCUGAAGGAAAUCGGCCAUGGCUGGUUUGGGAAGGUGUUCCUGGGGGAGGUGAACUCUGGCGUCAGCAGUGCCCAGGUGGUGGUGAAGGAGCUGCAGGCCAGUGCCAGCGUGCAGGAGCAGAUGCAGUUCCUGGAGGAGGCGCAGCCCUACAGAGCCCUGAAGCACAGCAACCUGCUCCAGUGCCUGGCCCAGUGCGCCGAGGUGACGCCCUACCUGCUGGUGAUGGAGUUCUGCCCGCUGGGGGACCUCAAGGGCUACCUGCGGAGCUGCCGGGUGGCGGAGUCCAUGGCGCCCGACCCCCUGACCCUGCAGCGCAUGGCUUGUGAGGUGGCCUGUGGCAUCCUGCAUCUACAUCGCAACAACUACGUGCACAGCGACCUGGCCCUGCGGAACUGCCUGCUCACGGCUGACCUGACGGUGAAGAUUG